AUUGAACGCUGGCGGCAUGCCUUACACAUGCAAGUCGAACGGCAGCACGGGUGCUUGCACCUGGUGGCGAGUGGCGAACGGGUGAGUAAUACAUCGGAACAUGUCCUGUAGUGGGGGAUAGCCCGGCGAAAGCCGGAUUAAUACCGCAUACGAUCCACGGAUGAAAGCGGGGGACCUUCGGGCCUCGCGCUAUAGGGUUGGCCGAUGGCUGAUUAGCUAGUUGGUGGGGUAAAGGCCUACCAAGGCGACGAUCAGUAGCUGGUCUGAGAGGACGACCAGCCACACUGGGACUGAGACACGGCCCAGACUCCUACGGGAGGCAGCAGUGGGGAAUUUUGGACAAUGGGCGAAAGCCUGAUCCAGCAAUGCCGCGUGUGUGAAGAAGGCCUUCGGGUUGUAAAGCACUUUCGUCCGGAAAGAAAUCCUUGGCUCUAAUACAGUCGGGGGAUGACGGUACCGGAAGAAUAAGCACCGGCUAACUACGUG
rnacentral:rRNA from 1 species